UACGAAGGGGGCUAGCGUUGCUCGGAAUCACUGGGCGUAAAGGGUGCGUAGGCGGCGCGGUAAGUCGGGUGUGAAAUCUCGGAGCUUAACUCCGAAACUGCAUUCGAUACUGCCGUGCUUGAGGACUGGAGAGGAGACUGGAAUUUACGGUGUAGCGGUGAAAUGCGUAGAUAUCGUAAGGAAGACCAGUGGCGAAGGCGGGUCUCUGGACAGUUCCUGACGCUGAGGCACGAAGGUCAGGGGAGCAAACGGGG
rnacentral:rRNA from 1 species